rnacentral:lncRNA from 1 species
CUACUUCUUCUUGUAUAGAAGCAAUGUGGCCUGCCUCAAUAAACACAGAUGAAUCGGUGACAAUGACAUGUCUUCUCUCUGAGGAUUUGAUGCUUCUGGCUCCUUCUUUACCAUGAUUGGAGAUACAAGGCAAAGUGAUUACUCCAGAGACCUUGGGAGUUUCAAGACAACUGAAUGCAAGAUAAGAAAGAGGAUAUCUUGAAAAAGAUAGACUGGUCAUCCCGGCGGGACGCUUCUGUAUGGUACAUUAUUGACUUCAAGGCAAGAGGCCAUGAAAGUGUUUUUCUUCAAGACAGUAAACUCUCUGUUUUGGGAAGUGAAUUGGAAAAAAGGGGGUGUUUUGGUUCCCUGUAUUAGUUUUCAGAAAUGAGUAAAUUGUGCAAUGCCUUUCAAACUAUAAUGCUACUGGCUCUCACUUACAGGGACCUGGAUGGUUUAGAAGCUACUUGAGGACCUCAUCAAGAUAAACAGACAAUGUUCUGUGCUGUAGCAGGGUCAAGGAGACGUUUCAACAAAUCAAUAACUUCCCCUGACCCACAACUGUCAAAGGAUUACACUAGAUAGGUGGAGAGUGUAAAGGAGAGUUUGCAAAGAGUUACCUUACAUGGGCUCAUUGUUAUUGCUCAAGUAAUGGGACAACAGUAUUUGGGACUAGUGACGAGUUUAGUAGUUCUGCUCCCCGUGUCCAACUGACUUGCCUUCUAACUGUACCUUUCUGUACUGAAGAUCGUGGAGUGUUCACAUCCCAGUUCCCAGACUCCCUGCCCUCAGGGUUCUGGAUUGGAUUUAUAUUUAACUGUGAUAUUAUAUGAGUGCAAAGCUGGAAAGACAGCCUGAAGUAGGGGCCAUACUUCUGCUGUUUCUAUUAUUCUUUUGCAACAAAACAAACAAACAAACAAACAAACAAACCAGUUUUAGAGGUAUUGCAUUCUGGGUGUCGAGAGACAGGCCAUAGAGAUUUCAUUUUGCAGACAAAAAUAAAAACAUUUCUGGCCUGGUGUUCUACUCUGUGUGUCCUAUAGUAAAUCUCUCACUUCUUAAACUUGCUAGAAUGGCUUAUGUCCUCUU